AUACGGCCAUAUCACGUUGAAACACAUGUUUUUGUCCGAUCCUCGAAGUUAAGCAACGUUGAGCUUGGUCAGUACCUAGAUAGAUGACUAUUUGGGAAUAACAGGGUCUGUA